rnacentral:ncRNA from 1 species
UACCUGAUUGAUUCUGUCAGCGCGAUAUGCUCAAGUAAAAGAUUAAAGCCAUGCAUGCUUUGAUUCAUAAAAUGAAAUUGCGUACGGCUCAUUAGAGCAGAUAUCACCUUUCUCGGAAUCCUGAAAGGAUAACCUGCGGAAAUU